CCCAAUCCCCUCCGACCUCCUCCCGCACAGAACCCCGCAGCCCCAAUCCUCCUCCUGCCUCCUUCCUCCUCGCGCCGCCGGAUCCCCACCCCACCACGCGCCGCUGGAGCCCCGUCUCGCCACGCGCCGCCGGAGCCCCGCCCCGCGCUGCUGGAGCCCAGCCCCAUCCCGCCGCUGCCGCCCAGCCCAGGUACCAACGGAUCCGGCGACAUCCCCAUCGCCAGCCACACAAUCUCCACCGGCGCAGUGGAGCAGCACCACCACCGUGGCCGUGGGCAUGCGAGGGGAUCCCGGGGCUAGUGCGGCCAUGGCCUGGAGCUCGCCCCUCCUCCUGCGCGGGGACGCCAGCUACCGCAGAGCCCAGCUACCAACGGGUCCUGCCGGAUCCCCAGCGCCAGGCACGCCACCUCCUGUUGCAGUCCUCCCUCCCUGUUGCAGGCCAGGCGUCCCGGGCUUCAAGUGCGCCGGGGCACGCGAUGCGGUUUGGCGCGCGUGGCCGUGCAGGUGCAUCACCCCCACUCCCAACAACCACGAGCAGCAGCGCGUAUGGCAGUGGACACAACCGAGUACCCUUCUCCUCUGCUCCCUUCCCCAGCCAACAUCCAUCGAGGUGCGUGUGACGUCGUGACGACGAGUUCAUUCUCUGUUGGCAAGGUAAUGCAUUUUUCAGUAUGGUGAGCAGUUCCAUCAGUGUGGUCGUCCAGCACGCGGGCGUGGGUUUGUAAUGUGGUGCCCAUCUACGUGCAGCCCACGAGGAGGCGACUGGUACUAAAGAUGCUACAUCCAUGAUAGUGGUAAAUCCCUUUGCAAUUUCAGAAUCUGUUUGAUUGCUAUGAAAACUGUUGUAGUGCCUAAUUUUUUAGUGUCGUGCAAUCUUUAGUGAUGUUCACUUUGUUAGUUCUUCCCUCUAAUUCUACGGACGAGCUGCACAGAACUGCAGUCAUCCCGAGCCUACCGCCGAGGAGCCGGCGAGCGCGCCCGCGGCGCCACCGCCUACCUCAACCUCGAACCGGGCGACUACUACGGGGACAGCACCGCCGUCUCCUCCCUCGUGCAGGCAAGAAGAGGAUGAAGAUCUCCACACCUGCCCCCAUGCAGUUCACUCGACGCGCCCGUGUGGUGCGGAGCGCAUCUGCGUGCAGUACGCCCGCCAACCAACUCCACCACGCCCACAGUCCACUCCGUGGUCCAAUGCAAUCCGACGACUCGAUGCAUGCAGCUCGCAUGGUGCGUGUGUGCAGUUUUCAGGCUCGCAGGUGUGUGGUUCUACCAACAACCAACUCCACCGCGGCCCAGCACUCAUGCCGGGGAGCUCCUGGACUUCAGCGUCGAGGUGUUCAACAACUGACGCAGAGAUUGGAACGGACACGGCCGCCUUUCCUCAUCGUCUUCAUUGGAAAGCACACCUAGUGGCUGCUCGCGGGCGUGCUACGUGCCGUUCGGCAUCAGCAGCAAUGCGGUUCAGAAUCGCGGUUUGCUUCUGGGUGGCCAAAGGCAGCGACAAUCCAUGACUUCGGCCUUUCCCAGCCCGCUGCCAUGAGCUCCCAGGGGAAGGAAGACAUGAUGUGCUUGCAUCCGCCUGCGAGAUGCCACCGCUUGGCGUACACAUUUUUUCUCUUCAUUGGAAUUGUUUUCACGGGAAUGCUAGAUCCUAGCAGGCAUGCAGUAUAGCCGGUGCUAGCGGUCCAUAUCUUUGUUUUUGUAGCUCACUGUCUCUCUUUUGUUGUAUCUUCUUUUUGAGUGUAGUGAUGUGGGGGUUGGACUUGCAGUGCACUGGCGACCGGCUUGCAUUUCAUGGAAAAAUUGUGGAUUUAUACUCUUAAGUCCCCUGUCAUUGUAAUUUGUAUGUGUUUGCACUCUGGAUAAACAAGGAGCAUUAGAGUUUUGCAGCUCC